rnacentral:lncRNA from 1 species
UUAUUAUAUAUAGAAUCCAGUCAUUCUUAUAUUUUUUGAAUACUAUCACAGAAUUGGACACAAAUAAAAAUUAUAUUAUAAAGUUACAACCUCAAAAUAAACCAACCUAUAUUAGCUAAUGAUAGGAAAAUAAUUUAAAACAGAUGAUAGGGGCACAUGAAUAAUUUCAUAGCCAAUGGCGGACUUUACUCCUCGAUCCUCACACUUUCACUCCAAAAUGGAGGGAUAAUAACCAGAUGAAAAUUCAUGUUAUUUUCCCUCCUCCAUUUAUUUUCCCUUACAUAUCCAAACAAGGGAAAGUGGGAUUUCCCUUUACUUUCCUCCAAAUAUUUUCCUUCCCCUCCCCUUUCCACCAAUCCAAACAACCUGUCAAUGUCAAUUCCCGAAAAACUCUAGGCAAAAGCAAUUGAUCCUUCCUUCUCCCUCCAGAACGCCAGCCACCAAAGGAAACGCCAUAAACGGCUGACGAAUCCCCAUUAUUGUAGUCCAUAGGCAAAACAUUGACCGAAACACAGGAGAUAAGCAUCUAAAAAAAAAGGGUCUAAAGACAGCCCGAAAAGAAUUUUGGGGAUCCGUAUAGAGAAGAAGAAAAGUCUUAUCAUCAACAGAGGCCAAAAAUUUCAAGUCAAGGAAGGUACCCAGUUGACAACAGAGUUUGAUCUUAUUUUCGUAUGUAGAGAAUCACAAAUUUAAAAAAACAAGGAAUUUCAUGAUCGAAUAUUUCGAUAAGCGUACUCUUUUCCCCAUGGUUUAGAAGCUUUGAUUUUUGUUGAGGUUUUAAAACUUUGAUUCCAUAAUUAGGAAUUUCAGUUUUUAGGUGCAAAGAAAGGUUUUUGGAACUUUACCUUUGUUUUGAAUCUUCGAUUUUUCUUUUUAUGAGGUUUUGAAGCUUUGGUUUCAUGAUUGGGAAUUCCUUUGAUUUUGAUGAGGCUUGAGAGUGGGAGAGAGAUGAGGAAUAAGGAAUGAAUUGAUGGAUUUGAUAGGUGGGAAAGAAAUGGAUGAAGGGUAGGUGAGUGGGAGACAAAUCUUUUAACUCUUUUUUUAUUAAUUUAAAAUACAUUAAAUUAAUUUUUUACCUAAUAAAUAAUAUUAAUACUAAUUAGAUUAAUGUUUAAAGAAUUUUAUAUUUUAAAAUAAUAUUUUUCAGAAAAUUUAAUUUUUAAUUUCUUAUUUGAUUUUUCAGAGAAAAAAACCGAAUUCCAUUUUUGAACAGCUAUCGGCUUUCACAAUCUUAUCUUCUUUUUUUGCUUUUUUUUUGCAGUGUUGUUUUUCCCUUCUCUCGUCCU